UACGUAGGGGGCUAGCGUUUGUCCGGAAUCAUUGGGCGUAAAGAGCGUGUAGGCGGCCCGGUAAGUCCGCUGUAAAAGUCAAAGGCUCAACCUUUGAAUGUCAGUGGAUACUGCCGGGCUAGAGUCCGGAAGAGGCGAGUGGAACUCCCGGUGUAGUGGUGGAAUGCGUAGAUAUCGGGAGGAACACCAGUGGCGGAAGGCGGCCAACUGGUCCGAUACUGACGCUGAGGUGCGAAAAGCGUGGGGAGCAAACAGG
rnacentral:rRNA from 1 species